GACGAACGCUGGCGGCGUGCUUAACACAUGCAAGUCGAGCGGAAAGGCCUCUUCGGGGGUACUCGAGCGGCGAACGGGUGAGUAACACGUGAGUAAUCUGCACUUCACUCUGGGAUAGCCACCGGAAACGGUGAUUAAUACCGGAUACGACACGUCCAGGCAUCUGGUGAGUGUGGAAACUUUUUGGGUGGGGGAUGUGCUCGCGGCCUAUCAGCUUGUUGGGUGGGUAAUGGCCUACCAAGGGUUCGACGGGUAGCCGGCCUGAGAGGGUGACCGGCCACACUGGGACUGAGACACGGCCCAGACUCCUACGGGAGGCAGCAGUGGGGAAUAUUGGACAAUGGGCGGAAGCCUGAUCCAGCAACGCCGCGUGAGGGAUGACGGCCUUCGGGUUGUAAACCUCUUUCAGCACCGACGAAGCGAUCCUUUGGGGAGUGACGGUAGGUGCAGAAGAAGGACCGGCCAACUACGUGCCAGCAGCCGCAGUAACAC
rnacentral:rRNA from 1 species